UCAUUGAGAAUAAACCAAAAGAAAGUAGGAAAGGGGCAUAAAUAAAAAUAAAAACAGAAAUUGGUGAAACAGGACACAAACAGGGUUGCGUUGUUCUCUGAGAUCCUCUAACGACUCAACAGCACAAAACGUUCCUUUAGUUCCUCCUAAGGGUAGACUCUGUGAACAGGCUGCAUGUGCCUGACUGCCAGCGGUUGCUGGAUGCUUCUGUUCUGGCUGUUGAGUAAAGGAAGCAGUGGGGAGAGGAGGAGUCACGGUCGUUUCGUGUUCUUUGGGUGGGGCGGGUUAGGAGAAGUUAUCACUUAGCCUGCCCACAUCAAGGCACGGCAAGCCUUACAUUCUUUUUUUCCCCCGCUGACCAGCUGACCAACUUCCUCUUGCCUUUAAGAGUAUCCAGGCUGGGAGGGCAUUUUGUUGUUUUGUAGAAUGUCUUGACUCUUCUCCUGCGGGUUCCCCUUGAGCUUUGCCCCCAGGAUUGCUGGCUUCCUGGGUCUUGUAAAGCCAGCGUUCUCCUUGUCCUGGAGGCACCUGUUUUGAGGGGGCGAUGGGAGCUGGAGCACGGGUCCCUGGGCAGAUGGAGAAGAGGCGUCUGUCCGGUUAGGCACAGGGCUGCUCUUCAGCAGAAAUGGGAAGCAGAUGUCGUUGGUUGGGGAUUUACUUUGCUGUAUUCCUAGUAACGUCCAUGGGUAUUCUACUGGGUGUCAUGUGCUAGAAGUUUCCCGUGAGUGUGUGGCCAUGUGCGUUUACCCAGGACCUUGGCAUAUACGUAGUUGUUCAUUCAACAAACAUGACCGAAGGCCUGCUGUGUGCCGGGCACGGUCCUAGGAGCUGGGGUUGGAGCAGUGAACAAAACAGGGACCAGGGUCCGUGCCCGCCUGUGGCUCGCUGAUGGAGGGGGACAGUGAGUCAUGGAGGGGGAGGGGUCCUCAGAGCAGGCUUUUCCAGCAAAGUGACAUUUAAGAUGAAACAAAUAGAAGGUGGUCAGGCCUGGAUUGGAGGAAGAGGGCGACAGAGUGUGACCUCGUGAACAAGGGCGUAAAUGUCAGUUGGCGAGAGAUGAGCCAGGGCCCACAGGGAACCCCUGUAGCGGGGUCAUCAUCCCCGUUCUCCUAAAACCUAAACAUGCGGCCUGGUUUAGACAUCACAUGAUUCGGAGGUGGAACUUGGAGCAGAUGAAGAAGUUUCCCAUGGGUCGUACGAAGCCUUUCUGUCUCUGGUGGUCUUUUCAGAGCUUCUCUGCCAUCACCGCCACCCAGUCUCCAACCCAAAGCACUCCUGCCUUCGUACGGGCUUUGCAGAUCCCCGACUGCCCCUCCAGAACCAUGUCCCCAGCUCUCGACUUUUCUCGCUCUUUUUCUCUGUAUCAAAACUCACCUGUCCUGGGUCCCAUCCUCAAGGUGUUAGUGUGAUGUGAUGUCCUGCACCGACCCCAGCCUGGGAGGGUCAACCCAGAGAAGUGCAGAGUGAGCGGACUGGCCCGGCGGCAGCGUCUGUCUGCGGUGGGGGCUGCGCAGGGCUGGGAUUGCUUACAGACGUUACAAAGCAGGAUGAAGAGAUCUGAACUUCUGGGACUUGGGACACCUGGGGACCGGUCCUUGUUGUGCAUGUGGCUCUGGGCAGCCUCUCAGGUUUCUGUCUCCUCAUCUUGAAAAUGGACGAAGGGAUUUCUGAGUCCCUUCUGCUCUGCAGUUUUAGGUCCUUCUGGGUUCCUGGGCCCCGGUCACACACAUCUUCCCUCCGUCCAGCAGUGACCUGCACCCAGCGGAGGGAGUUACGAGGAUGCUUACCCACCGACUCCGUUUGUACAGGUGGCUGUGGGGUGUGGCCGUGUGCAGAAAAGGGCCUUGUUCCCCCCAAAUUCAUCCCCUUCUGCCUGAUGGUAAACCACAGUUUUUGGAGACCUUAUUUGGCCUCGCUCAUGCCCAUCCCAGCUGGUCUCUGGCCCCCUCACUCCAUCAGGGAACCCCCAGUGCUACAGUCAAGGGCACAUAGUUGUUGCUCAGUAAAUGAUAAUCAUGAUUAAUAAUAAUGAAUAAUAGCGGGUCCCAUUCAUUAAGCGCUUACCACGUGCCAAGCAUUUUACAUUCCAUGCUUCCAGCACCCUGUGAUGUGAGCUGUUGAAGUCACCGUUUUGUGGAUAGAGGAGGUGAGGCACAGAGAAGGGAAGUAAGUCCCUUGAGGUUGCACAGCUGGUAAGAGACAGAUCUGUGUUCUCACCCAGGCAGGCUGGCCUGGAGCCUAUGCUCUUAACGACCAUGUUACCUAAUGCUAAGUACUCUUGAUUUGGUUGAGAAUUGACUGGACCGAGGUGGACCAGGGCAUGGUCCGCUCUCCCAGCUGCUGGCCAUGCCCCUUCCCUCCUGCCCGUGGGGGAGGCCUCUGCGCUGCAGGCCUGGCAGGUGUCCCAUCUGCUUCUGCCCUCUUCUUCCUCUCGUUCUUCCUGCCCGCAGACUGGGUGAGGGGGAGGCCGGCCGCUGUGGUCAGAGUCUCUACCCAGGCUGGGGCUGCAGACUUGGCCCAUGCGCUUUGGCAUGCUCGGCUGGCCCGACGUGGAUGCUGCAGGAGAGAGCAGAGGAGAGGCAUGAACCUGGCCUCAUCCUGGGGAGAAGGGGAUGUGCCCUCCAGGUCUGGGGGAGCUGUCCCCGGGUGUGGUGUGAGCAGGGCGUGGCCUGACAUUCUUAUACCACGCCCCUCUCCUCCCCCGCAUAGGUCCCUGUUUGUCUCAGUUCCAGGAUGCAGUACAAUGGAAGAGGGAAGCACAGGGACUCUGGUGCUGGACUGCCUGGGUUCAAACCCUGGCUCUGUCAUUUAUCAGCUGUGUGAGUUUAGGCAAGUUGGGCAAACUCUCUGUGCCUCGGUUUCUUCAUCUGUAAAAUGGGGAGGAUAACGGUAUCUACUUCAGAGGGUUGUUGGGAGAAAUAAAUGAGUUAAUAUAUGUAGUUUGUUUAGCACAGUGCCUUGGCACGUAAGGUGCUUAUUAGUAUUACUGCUUUUGAUCCUGGGAGGAGGAGGAGGAGUUGGAGGGGGGAGGAGCUGGCUGGCUGACCCUGCCUUUUCCUCUCUUUCCUCCCUCUCGAGUGGGGUGGGGACUGGAUCUGAUUCCCAGCUCAGGUCUGAGUGGCUGUGUGGCCUUAGUCACAUAACCUCUCUGUGCCUGCUUUCUCACCUAAAAUCAGUAUAGCGAUUGUAAUAAUGAUCAAAAUAGUAAUAAUUGACUUCAUUUUAAGAGGUGUAUUUUUUAUAUUUAGUAAACAGGAUUUCUGAUAUCUGGGAUGAAUAUUACACUCGAUGUGUGCAUUUCCUUAAUGUUUCCGAACACACCCAUAUCACCCCCAAACUCUUACGAAGUCAGUGAUGCAUCUUACAAGCAACGGGAUUUUUGAAUUAAGAGGCCACGGUGUCUACGAUGUGCCAAGCUAGGUCCUGAGUGUUUUCACUGCAUCAUUUUAUUUAAUCCUUACCACAGCGCUGGAGGUAGAUACUGUUCUGCUCCCAUUUUACAGAUGUGGAAACUGAGGCUUAGAGAGAGAAACAGUGGCUUGCAUACAAGGUCAUGCUUGUUGAAGCGACAGAGCUGGUCCACCUAUGGACCCCAUGCCGGAACCUGAACAUCUUUUCCAAGGGUGUCGGGGAGCAUCUCUCUCCUCCCUGGGAGGUGGGAACAUGUUCCUAAAGAUAGCCUCAAGCUUUUGGGAGGAAAAAUGCUACUGGUGGUCUUGAUGGCUCAUCAGGCCCUGCCAAGUACCAGCCGUUCUUGACCAUGAACUUGGCAGGCUGACAGCAUGUCGGGGAGACCCUUGCAGGUCACGCCUUGUGCAGAACACAAUGUUUUCAGAGCCUAAAGCAGUUUAUAAAAUAAUGUGGGAUUCAUCCCAGAGCCUGGCAGAGGGUCUGGAAUUCUUGAGCCCUGUUUUCCAGUUGGAUUAAACUGAAGUCAGACGUUCUGCCCCAAAGUCUGAAGUGAGUCAUGUAGGCUGGGAGCAGCCUGGCUGUCAGGCCCCUCCCCGGCUCUGGGCACCCAGGGUUCCUUCCUUGCCCGUGUCUCUGCCCAGUGUCGAGGCGGCUGAUGGCUGGCGGGCUUUGGGGGUCUUUGAGAAAGGGAAGAAAUAAGCAGUGGGCUGCCUGGCAGCUCAGACUAGAGCUGUUGGGCAGAGUCCAGAAAUGACCUUGGUGACAGUGACAGUCUCUGAGUUCGUAGGAAGUGAGGUCGGAAUAAUUGAUUGCUGCUGAGUUGUGAAAACCAUUUUAGGAGAUUCCAAUCUGCAGGCUCUCCGAGGGAAGGAAUAGGCUCCAAUGGGGGCUGCCUUCUCCCUCCAGCCCAGGGGACGCUUGGAGUCUCCCUCUCUGCCCAGUGAGCUUGGCCAUGGCCCCAGGACUUGGAGGUGGCGCUGGCUGCCCACGCCUCAUGGAGGGGCCGCUGCGGGGUGGGAGAAGAGGAGGGUGGCCUCGGCUCCGGGUGGGUUGGGCUGUUCCCCACCGAGGGUUGGUUGAGCCCCUUCUGAGUGUGGGUCCCCAGACCGUCUGAAAUUCAGACAUCCCUGGGUCUGUAGAAGGAUUACAUUGGAUGGCAGACUUCGGGGCCCUUCUCCCACCUGCCUCCUGCCUGAUGAGCCACAAAAGCCAGAGGAGACACGGAGUUUUCUGAACGCGGAUCUGACCCCCAGGAUUGGGAGGAGCGCUGGUUUUCUGAAUCUGACCCCUUGGGGCUUGUUCAGUCCACUUCCGUUCUAGAAGAGGCAGCAUGGCCUGGUCAUUGGGAACCAACGGCCUGAGCUUGCAUCCUGGAUCCACCCCUUACUAUUUGUGGGAGCUGGGAUCAGUCAUGUUACCUCUCUCUGCCUCAGUUUACCAUCUGUCAAAUGGGGAUGACAGUGGUCCCUCCUUCAAAAGGUCAUUGUGAUGAUUAAAUAAGUGAAUAUUUAAACAUAAAAAUAAAUAAAGACACGCGCACAUAAAAUAAAGCCCCAGCUGUUACCUCAUUCGGUCCUCUGAACAGUGCCAUGAGGAAGGUGGGAUGAGAAAGCACGGACAGACGAGAUGCUACACACAGAAGAGAUUCAGUGACGUUUCAGAGGCCACACAGCCGCUUUAAAGAGAGGUCUGCCCUGUUUAGUGGAAAGACCUGGCUUCAAAUCUUGGGGCCAUCACAGACCAGCUGUGCAGUCCGGCUCAGUGCUGCCGGACCCUUUGGAGGCUCACUUGGGAUGACAAUGUCACCUCCUCCAUGGGGUAGUGUGAACGUUGGUGGUCAUUCAUUCACCCAUCCCGUAAAUAUUUACUGAGUGCCUAGUACCUGGCAGGCUCUGUUCUAAGAGUUUGAAAUGUAUCCAUGAACAAAACAGUGGCCCCUGCCUUGUGGAGUCAACAUGCUAGAGGGGAAAGGCAGAUAACAAAUAAUAAACAUUUAAAUAAAUACGUAAGCAAACACUCUAGAGCAGAGACCAGCAAAUGUUAUCUGUAAAGCGUCAGAUAGUAAAUAUUUUAGGCUUUGCGGGCCUGAUAGUCCCUGUGUCAGCUACUCACUUCUGCCCCUGAAGCUUGAAAACAGCCAUGGACAGCGUGUGAAUGAAUGGGCAGGGCCGUGUUCCAAUAAAACUUUAUUUACAAAAGUAGGUGGUGGGCAGGAUUUAGCCUAUGGGUCAUAGUUUGCCAACCCUUGAUCUAGACCAGAGUGUUAGAAGGUGUUAAGUGCUCUAAGAAAGAAAAAAAUGGCGCCCAUGCCAGAGGGUGACCUGGAUGUGCAGGUCUUAAGGAUGACGCGUGUUGAGAGCCGGGUGCAUGCAGGCGCUCGGCUAUGCUAUAGCCAGGUGGGGCAUCUUAGAACCCCAGCUUUCCGGCGUGAGGGCCUGGCACUCUCUGCCACCAGGGAAUGAGGCGGAGGCUGGUGAUGCAGUCUAGGUGAUGCUGUGUCCCAAGGCCCAUCCUUUCCCAUUUCUGCCUUCACCUGUGGGUCCUUGCUGGACGCAGCAGGGAGACUGAUGGGACGAAGACCGCCCUGGGGGGAGGUCUGUGACUGUCAUCAUCAGCAUCACAACACAGAUGCUCCAGGACUGGUCGCUGCUCCCAUCCAGGAAGUAUGGUGGCCAUGGAUGUGCUCCCACUGGGAACCUUACCAGCCCCUGUGGCCUCUGCCUGGCGCAGGGCGAUGUUUUUCUUGGGCCUUCAGGGACCAGAGGUGAAAGCUACUGUCUGGGAUGCGUUUGAGCAGCCCUGCGUGGGGCAGGAAGGGAGAGCUCGAUUCUUCUUGGAGGUUUUCAGCUGGUCUGGUGGACACUGUCUGCCUCUAGGCUGCUACAUGGUGCCUUUCUGUGAUUUAGAGAAAAGUGCCUGUUCUAGGGAGGGGCAUGGGUGGCUAGAAAACAAUGUUUGUACAGAGAAAAGGUGUUCCUUCCUCUGAACAGUGUGGGCUUGGACUGUGGAGUGAGGCUAGAUGAUUUCUCCCUCACUGGGCACUAUGUGCAGUGCCCAGCCUACACAGCUGUACAUGGCCGCCUUGUAUAGGAUGUCGCUCGUAUUUAAUAGCAGGUGGUCGCUUUCCUACGUCCCUUGCUCUCUCACUUUCAAGCAUGAAGAGCUGUUCCAGGUCUCUCAUCUCCACGGGCGCUCACCUGAGCCCACUGUUUGGCUCGCCCCCACGGCCUGAGCCUAAAUUUUUGGUCGGAAGGGGAAAUAGACUCGACCAUCCCUCAAGAGGCUGCCACUGUGCAGGACAUCGCCAGGAGGCCUGGCACCUCCCCGAGAGCUGUCUUCCUGCUAGUGUCCAAACUUCCUAAGAGUGCCCCGUCUUUAUCCUGUUAAAAAUAAACACCGUUUUCUCCGCUCCCUUCAGCGGCUGAAUUGUACCCUGGAGAACGAGCAUUUGUGUUUCCUCGCAAAGGCUCCGGAGGGAGACGCAUAAACAAACUGUAAACAGCUGUUUCUCCUCUGGUGACAGGAUGCAGACAAUAGACCCUCUGAGGGUGUUAAUCAGCUGCCUUUUCUGCAGCGACUUUGCGUCACGGGCCUCGGAGGAGCCUCCAUGCUGGGUGACAGUGGCUGCGGUUUCCUGAGCAAGCGGGGGAGUCGCUCGACACGGAGCGCCGUGUGGGCCUGGCAGCAGCCGCCACCUCCCACAGCCCAGCGUGGACCUGCUGCGCUUCCCAAACAGAUGUCCGAGCAGCUGUCCUGCAGGUUCCCAGCUUUGUUCCCUGGCAACCUCUUGAGAGAGAUUCUUGCUUAGAAAAGUAGCCCGAUGUGGUCACCUCUUUCUCUGAACAGGGAUGCUAUUCCGUCGAAUAAUGUUCAUCCCACGAAUAUUGUUUUUGAGCACCCACUGUGUGCCAGGCACUAUGCUAGGUUCUUGGGGUAAAUCUGUGCCCAAUAUUUAAUUCAAGAGAUGGAUGCUGGACACCUCCUAUGUGUCCAGGCGCUCUUCUAGGUCCUUGGGACACAUCGGUGAGUCCUGGAAAACAGAAGCCCUCCCUGCGUCCGUUCAUUGCUUCAACCCACAUUUCAACAAAUAUUUACAGAACACCUACUGUGUGCCAGGUACUGUCCUAGGUGCUUAAAAUGAUAUGGUGAACGAGAUGGACAAGGUCCCUACCUCCUCUAGCAGAGGAAGAUGGACCAUCAGUCAUAAAUAUAUAAAUAGGAUCGGUCCAGGCAGCCACAAGCACGCUCGUGAAAAUGACCAAGAAGUCUGUGACAGAGGGUGAUUGCCGUGGGGCGAGCCUGGUUCUGCUGGGAUGACUAGGGAAGGCCUCUCUGAGGAGGGGACAGUCACACUCCCACCUAAACAGGAGGAGGAACCAGCCACGAGAGCAGCUGAAGAACUAGCUUUCCAGGCAGAAGGCAUAGCAAGUGCGGAGGUUGGACUGAGUUUGGGAUUCGCAGGAGCGACAAUUGAUCUGUGUGCCUGGGCCCAGUGAGUGAGGGGAGCCUGGGGAGGGCAGGAGGGAGGGGUCCGCGGGGCUCAGUAAUGUGGAUCUUGGAGACUAGGGCAAAGAGUUCAGACUUUAUUCAAAAGAUGUGGGAAAUCAUUAGGGAGUUUAAACUGGGGAAAUGAUCGGCUUUGAGCUUUAAAAAAAAAAAUCCUUCUGGUCUAGACAUGAUGACAGAAUGCAAUGUGGCUUUCUGGAUUGGAUCCUGGAACAGAAAAGGUUAUUAGUGGAAAAACUGGUGAAAUCCGAAGGAAGCCUGCAAUUUAGCAUCUUAGUGAAGAGUGUUGCACCCAUGUUGGUUGCUUGGUUUUGACCAGUGAACUGUGGUUCAGGCAAGAUGUGGACAUUAGGGGGAGCUGGGUGAAGGGUACGCAGCAACCGUCUGGCCUAUCUUUGAAACUUUUCUGCAAGUCUAAAAUUAUUUCAGAAUAGAAAGUAUUAUUUUAAAGAUCCGUCUGGGUAGUGGGCAUUGCAGGGGGCACUGAAAGAAGGCAAGAGUGAAGGCAAGGAGACCCGCGGGGGGCUUUUGAGGUCAACCAGAUGAGGGAUGAUGGUGAGGAAGCACGGUGGUGCUCUCAUCCAGGAGAGGGGGCGCCUUUAGUUGAGUGAUGGGUCUGCAGCCCCAGCUCUUGAACAUCUUUCUCUCACUGGUCUGUGUCAGCCCUGUCAACUAACUCAGCUGGUAUUUUCUGAGCAUCUUCUAGGCGCUGAGUGCCAUGCUGAGGGUCAGUUAGUCCUCACAUCCCUUCCCAGCCAGUAGGGCCUCUUAUUUCUACCUGCUUCAUUCCUUUUGUGGAAAUUACCCCCAUCACCUUGGAUAAUGACUUGAAGCGAGUGUGUGUGUGUGCGUGUGUGUGUGUGUGUGUGUGUGUUUAUAUAAUGCCUAACCCUCCACUAGGCAGGGUAACAAGACCCAUAGAGUCAGAGGCUUAAUUUUGCUUAUUACUGUAUUUCUAAUGCCUGGCACAUAGCAGGCACUCAAUAAAUACCAUAAAAUAUGUAUUUAUAUUAUAUAAAUAUAAUACUAGAUAGAACUACAAUAAAUAUAUAACGAUGAAACAACAGUAAUAGUGGCAGUAAGCACUUAAUGAGCAUUUGCUAUUUGCCAAGCGCGUGUUGAGCCCUUUGCUUGAAUUUUAAUCCUUGCAGCCCCGUGAGGUAACUAUUGUUUUCACACCCAUUUUAUGACAGCGUUGGAGACCUUUGCUCAAGGUCACGGAGCAGAGCCAGGCUUUGUACCCAGGCAAGUAUGUCUCCGGUGCCCCCAGCCUCUACAUACUGAGCCACACUGCCUGCCACGGAUUGAAUCGAUAACUCUCAUUAGUUUGCUGAUUAAGUUAACGCAUGUUCGUUGAGAAAAAAUGAGAAAACAAAGGCGCAUGCGUAAAGAAGAAAAUGCACAUUCUCCCCAAGGCCGCCUUCGGUUUACUUCUGGACGAGGGUUAACCCCUGGAGUCGCUCAUUUUGGUGGGAAUCAGGUGGUUUCAUUGCUUUCUUCUCUCCUUGGAGAGACUAAGGGUGCAGGCGGCUGGGCUUGGGGGGGUGAGGGAAGCGGGAGGAGAGCUGCAAAGGCUCAUGGGAGGAUGCUCUGCAGUGCUUCCCAGCAUUCCCUGGGGUGGCCUCUGCCUCUUCCUUCAAGGCGGGAGAGUCCAUGGAGCUCACUGGACAUCCAGAGCCGUGGGACCUUCAGGAUCUAGAAAAGCCCCUCCAGUCGGCCUGUAGCUGCUGGUGAACCUCCAGGUAGUUAAGCCUGCUCCUCAGUUCACCGGAAGAGAUGGGGGCUUUCUGUGGCUCUUGGAUUGUGAUCCGCCAUCAGUUGUAAGCUCUGUACCAUCCAUUCGAUAACAGCUUUUUUGGGGAGGGGUGCAUAUCAGUCAGGUUUCCCCAGAGAAACAGAACCGAUGGGAUGUAUAUUAUAUUCCUUAUGAUAAGGAAUGGUCCAUGCUAUUACGGAGGCUGUGAAGGCCCAAGAUCUGUAGUCGGCAAGCUAGAGACCAGGAGAACUGAUGGUCUAAGUUCUAGAUCAAAGGCGGGCAGUUUCCAGAACCAGGAAGAGCCAGUGUUUCAGUUGGAGUCUGAAGGCAGGGAGAAGCCAGCGUCCCAGUUUGAAGGCUGUCAGAUGAGAGGAGUUCCCUCUGGAGGGUCAGGCUUUUUGUUCUAUUGAGACCUUCAACUGAUUGGAUGAGGCCCACCACAGUAGGGAGGGCACUUUGCUUUACUCAGUCUACUGGAUUGAAAUGUGAAUGUCAUAGAGAAACAUCCUCACAGACACACCCAGAAUAAUAUUCGAGCAAAGGUCUGGGCAUGCUCUAGCCCAGUCAAGUGGAUAUAUAACAUUAACCAUCACAGGGGCAAGAGGAGGGCACAAAUUUGGUAUUUAAGUUCUGGCAGCUCAUUUUUGGGUCCUGUGUGGAAGGUUAUUGUAGAGAGCUGGAUCUUUAUUCUCCUUUUUAUCUGACUCUAUCUUUAUCCUUGGCCAUUAUCUGGCACUGACUGUUGCUGUGGAUUUCCUUAGGGAAAACUUAAUCGUAUUCAUUAUCUCUUUUUGCCAUUGAUACUUAGAGUACUUGAUAUUAAAAAAAAAAGGCCUUAGAAACUCAAAUGAAGGCAAGUCUUUAAGGAGUUAAAAUGAGAGUCAAAACCCUCAAAUACCCUUAAGGCUAGGGAGGUAGGUAAGUAUGUUCUAAAGGAUAGGUAUAGGGCUAUAGAGAGUGGUGAGGACUGUGGCAAAUGGAAUAAUGAAUGCUCUGCCUUAAGUGAACAGUAGCUCCUUGGCUCCAGCUGCCUGUGGCUAGGAGAGAAUCAGGCCCAGGUUUUUCCGCUCUUUUGGGUUUUAAAAGAAUCCAGAAAUUUGGAUUUUUCACUGUAGUCUGUGAUAUAUAUUGGCGACUAAUUCAAAUUUAUGUAUUUUUUUUAAUAACACCCGGUGUGAGCUAAACAAAACAUUUCUGUGGGCUGGAUUUGUCCCAUAGGCCUCUAUCUAACUGAUUACGAAUUAAAUAAUGAUAGUGGGACUAAUAAUGAAUAAUAAUUUUAGCAAAACAUCUGACAUUUAUUUAAUGUUUACUGCGUGCCCGGCACAAUUGCAGCUCCCUAAGUACAUUAUCUCGUUCAGUCGUCAGAACAGAGGUAGGCGCAGUGUUGUUCAUCCCCGUUUUACAGAUGAGGGUCGGUUAGGUGCCCGCACCACAUUUACCAUUAGUAAGUGUUGGAACUUAGCUUUUCUCAGUCAACAUCCUUUGCUUUAAACGCCUAUGUCAUGGUGAUUCUUUUGAUCCUAAAGUGUGAGACCCACACCCACUGGAAAUAUCCAGCGUGGGUUAUCACAGAUCAUAGCAGAAACCCAAGGAGGAGAUUACAGAAGGGUGCACUUAUUUUAUUGGGCAGCCAAAUACCAUAGACCAUGAUAAGUACCUUCCAAUGUAAAUGCCUCGAAUCCUUACAAUGACGUGGUGAGGUGGACCUUAGCCAGAUUCUGCAGAUGAAAUAAGAUUCUGUGUCUAUUUCCCCAAGACCACACAGCUAGUGAGGGGCAGAGGUGGGACCGGAACCCAGGUCCACGGGUCUCUAACGCCCAUAGUCUUGCUACUCUUCCCCAUAAUUAAGAUCAAAGAAUGAGAAAGAACUAGUGCAGGCAGCUGACUGAGAAUCCGGUUGUGCUGACUCCAAGUAGAUAUGAAUGUGGCUAUGGAUCCUUUUCAGACGGUCAUUCUGAUAUUUACAACUUAUGGCGUACUUGUGUGGGUGAGCACAUCUCCACGAGGUGAUAAGGCAGUAGAUGUUUGGCUUUCGUUUGUGUUUCCGUGUUGAAAAUUGUUCUCCGGAAAGUUUUUGUCCUCUGUUUAUGAAUGGGUCCCGCGAUGGUGUCUCUUCAUUUCUGUCUUCACAAAAUAAGCACAGAUUCAUCUCUUGCCUUCAGAUUGGCGACCUAGCUUUGGCUCUAGAAUCUUCCAGUGCUCUCUCACCUACCUUCGUCUUAAUGAGGUACACAGAGAUGGACUGUCUCUACUUUUAGACACAUGUUUCCCACAGCAUGGAAUGUGUAUUAUUAACGGUAUUCAAGUCGAUUGUAUGUGGUACUGUAUUAAUUACCUAUUGCUGCAUAACAAAUGACACCCAAACUUAGUGGCUUAAAGCAACAUGUGUUAUUUUAAUCACAAAAGAUAGAUCUCAUCAGUUCAUUCUGUAUUCAAGCUGACGGCCAGAGCUGGGUUCUCAUCUGAAGGCCCAACCGGGGGGAGACUUGCUUCUGAGCUCACCCACCUGGUUGAGUUUCUCAUAGGCUGCGGGACCCAGGGCCUCAGUUCCUUGCUAAUGGUCAGCUGGAGGCCUCCUUCAGUUUCUCACCCUAGGACAGUGUACAAAAAGGCAACAUUCCCCCGGAGCCUGUGAUGCAAGAAAGAGAGCCUGGAGGAGAGAGAGAGAGCAGCUAAGGUGGGAGCUGCAGUCUUCUUAAGCCAAACCCUGGAUGUGAAAUCCUGUUGCCUUUGCAGCAUUCUUUUCAUGAGAUGUGAGUCACUAAAUCCAGGUCACCCUCAAGGGCAGGGAUUUGCACAAGAGUGUGAAUGGUCCAGUCUGGAACGGCUGGCUGCACCAAGAGGCAGCCAGUCUUCAGCCCCUUGGCUGCAGGUAUUCUGAAGCAUGUUUCUGCCCUGAGGAAAUUAUGCCGGAGUCUGGGAAAGUGAAUUUCACUCUAUUUUAAAAACUGGUCGGAUUUAUGUUCCUGCACACUUCCGAAAGCCACUCGCCCCUCCACCCCCCCCAAGAACAAUUUUCUCUAACAUGGAGAGAGGUGUCUGGAAGGAGUGACCUGAUUCUUCUUUCCCUCUCCUCUCUUUGCCGAGAUAACUGCUCCAUGGGACGUAGGCCGUCCGUCUUGUUGGACUUGGCAAUGUUUGUCCAGGGCGAUGCUCCAAGAGAGAGACAGUUCCAAGUGUUGCAAUGUGGACACGCGUGCAUGCCAAGCAGAUGUGGGUGACAUGGUGCACAUUGGCUUAACGUGGGACUGUUUCCUGGAGCCGCCUCAAUCAGCGUUUGAUACAGAUAAAGAUCGCUUGUCCCCAGAUGCCUUCUUGGUUUCAGUGGAGCCAAGUAUGAUUGGAGGGAGAGGAGGCUGGGUUUGGAAAAGUGUGUUUCUGUGGCCGCGAGUGGGAGUUUGGACCAGGGGAAUGCCGUUAAGUGGGAAGCAGGCAGCUCAUACCCAACAUGGGCCCAGAUGGUCCCAGAUUUGUUGCCUUCCUGUCUAAGAUGUCAGGAUUUUGGCAAACUUUUUUUUUUUUUUUGCUUGACAUAAUCUCCAGUGUUCUUUGCAGCAGAAUAUUGCAAAUGUCAGCCGAGGACUGAAAACCCUCAGUCACAUGGCCUGCAUUCAGAGCCUGGCCUCACUCAGUUUUCCUCUCUGUAAAAUGUGACCCGUGAUAUUGGCCAGCCACCAAAGGAUCUUGCAAGGAUUAAAUGAGAUAAUGCAGGUGGAUAAUUUAGCACGGGUCUGGCACCCAGGAAGUACACCAGAGGGUCAGUUACUGUGACUGUUGUUAUGGUCAUUAUCAGCCAUUUCCUAUGGACAGCCUUCCAGACCCUUCUCUCUGGAAAGCAUGAAUGUUAGAAGGUGAAGGAAACAAGUCUUCAUUUGCCCGUGGGACCCAAGCAGUUACAUAAAACCCUACGCUUCUAUAUUAUGAGCUUAACAGUGGAGACUUAAAUUGUGUUUCUGAGCUCUUACGUAAUUCUUCAGCACAUCUCAUUUAAUCAUAAUAUAUUGAGGCCACGUCUUAGCUCUGUGGUCAUUUGAAUAGAUUCUUUUCUGGCCUCCUGCCUCUAACUCCAGGAAAGUCCUCAGGGUAAAUUUCUGCUUUCCAUUUUUAUAGAAUGACCUCGUUCCCAGCUUAAAAGCCCAAUGUGAUUGCAGUAGCUUUAAAUAAGAUGAUCGAGUUCAAUUUAGCAAACAUUGACUGAGCCCCUACUGUGUGUGGACUGCCAUGUUCAGAGGCUGGUGAAAGGCAAGCUGGCAUAAUGGGUGCAAGUGGGAAUUCUGGAACCAAACAACCUUGGUUCAAAUCCCGCGACCUCUCCCACUCUGUGCGAUCUUGGGCAAGUCACUUCACCUCUCUGAGCCUUGAUUCCCUCAUUUCUGAGAUGGAAAUGUUAGCAGUACCUGCCCACCUUUGGUUGGAAGUAAAUGAAGUCAUGUAUGUUUCGUGCCUCCUGCGGUACCUAAAAAUCAUGCAAUAACUGUGCACAACUUCUGUCCCCAGCUGCUCACAGAUAAGUAGGUGAGAGAAUCUUUCAAAGAUUAAGCCAUGGAGAGAGAGCGCUGGGUUUUUGGUACUCUGGGUUCCCUUUGGCCACCUGUUGGUCUUGUCUGGAGGGGCCAUGCUGUCUCGCCUGUGUCAUUGGGCAUUGGACACCCAGCUCUCCCCAGGUCCCACCCUGGUCCCCUGGUCCCAUAUCCCCAGAUGUCAUCUCCUGCAGGCAGGGCCUGCUCUGCACUGCUCGCCGUUGGAUGCUCCACCUAGCGCGGAGCCUGGCCCAGAGCAGGAACUUUAUAAAUACUGGCUGAAUCAAUCCAUGAAGUCCAUGAAAAAAAAUCCCGAGAUUUUUUUUCUCAUCCAGAAGAGUUUAUCUCCGCAAGCUCUAAGGUCAAACUUAGAUGUAACCAAACCCGCAGCCGCCUUUAGACAGACAGAGCCUGAAAUAGCCGCAAAAGCCCCUGGUCAUGUACACUUCUUCAUUUACUGCACCUGCUGUCGCCUUUUAAAAAAACUUGCUGGAGUGGCAGACCAAAGUGACCAGAGAGUGGAUUGUCAGGUUCCAGGGGACUCCCCACCUUAGAAAGAGAGGGUCCCAGAAGGCCAGGUGGCACUCUGUUAGCUUCAGCUGGGCUUUUGAGCUUGACCCACUGCUGACCACCUUCCUUGCACUUCUGCUCUUGAGCCAAUUUACGUGAAAAGCCGGUGACUGGAGAGCUGUGCGUGUGCUUCAGGACGGGUCCCAGGAGGAAGGAUGGAGACCAUCCGUCACCUGCUGACACUUCAGCCUGGGUGGCUGCAUCAUUCUAUAUUCUCGCCAGCAGUGAAUGAGCGGAUCUGUUCCUUUUGUUAUCUUCCUCUGAACUGGAGGACGAUGUUUGUUAGAGACCUCUGCAUGUGAAAUCCAGAAGUUGCCACCUGCCCGAGGAAACAGGCCCUCACUGGGCCCUUGACCACACACCAGAAGAGACUCAACCACACUUCCCACAUAAGCUACCAGCCCAGAGGGGCCACUGUCCCUCGCUCCCGCUCCCUUCCUCCAGUCCGGCCCCGCUUGCCACGCUCCCCUGCUGUCCGUCUAGUUCCAAAGAGGAAUCGCUUUUAUAAAAAAAUGUCCUGCAGCGCCCUGUUGCUAAUUCAGCAACUUUAUUGCUCAAUACGCCUUACCAUCCGUGGCCUGCCUUUGAAUGGAUUCAUUUACCUGCAUUGAUUGGUGUAUGUCCUUCUUAACUGCGGCCAGAAGAUGCACAGCAGUGCUUAAAAACUGUGUAGCAUUUUGCUUUCUGAUAAUGAUAGUUAACUCCACUGUUGAUUGCCAAUGACAUGGUAUUCCCCUCUUGAAGAUGGACUUAAAUCGCAUAACUCUGUUCCUUGAUAAUGAGAAAAUAAAUUACUUUUCUAUACUGUGUUCUGCCAA